AUCCUCUUGCAGUUCAUCAACAUGCCGACUGGGUGUUCGCGCUCUUGUGAGAGAUGUGCCUCCCUCAAACCUGUUACAGCAUCGGCACACUACCCGUCUGAUA